UUUGAUUGGUUGUGAAUGAUGAAGGGGCGUUAACUUUUUAGCCACACAGUUGUUUUGCUAAUGUGUUAUCCAUUAGCUAUUCGCAGGCAUAUUUGGCUUUGAGCUUGUAACGUAGCAUAAACCAUUAGUUGAUUUCACAAAGAUAACAAACGUCAACAUUACGGACUUAACGGCGGAUGAUGAUCUAUUUUGGUUGUGUGUAGGCAAGAGGGCGAAGAGACACGGCAGAUGCAGUCCAGACAUGUUGGGGGAGCUUGGAUACAACACAAGAGUGGAACUUGAGGGGAGGAUGACCUGAUGACCCGAGUUUCCAAUAACAUGCCAUAAAUAAUGAGCUGCGCCGGCGACAGCCAGAUCUUCCACAUAUCAUGGACAGGAUGAAGCGUACUCAAAGGCUGAAUGGCCAAGCAAACAGAUGCGUUAUGAAAUGAGGCUGAGGUUGGAGAUAUGGAGAUAAACAUCCACAAUGCCCUGACAACAUUGGCACCAAAUAUCAUCACGGCGGCUCUGCUGGGGAGCCACAAGGGACAAUUCACCACCUUGAUGACUGAGGCCAAAGCAGACGAUCAUCUGAAGAGUGCUGCGGUCCUCAUCGUACCAGAGCAGAGGUUUUGCUGCUUGGAUGAGGAGCCAUCCAGCCCAUCUCCAGUAAUGGUGUCACACAACGCUGUGAGUCCCCUGCUGUGUACUACCCAACGCAUCCACCGCGACUGGGGAGAUGGACGUCCUU